AGUGAUGCUGGAGUUCUGCUCAGGCUGCCAGGGCUCUGGGCCUGUAGCCUGGCCCUGAGAGUACCACCUCCCUUCAGUGGGACUUUGUCUAAGACAUCCUUGGGGAAGCUGAUACCCCAUAUCCUGUGUCCAGGCCCUGCCGUGUCCCUGCAGCACUACUGUGUCAACUUUAGCUGGGUCAACCUUGGGGAGCGCUCCGAGCAGCCCCUGUGGAUUGAGAACCAAUCAGACUGCACGGCCCACUUCCAGUUUGCCAUCGACUGCUUGGAGAGUGUCUUUAGCAUCAGGCCUGCCUUUGGGACCCUGGUGGGCAAGGCCCGUAUGACCCUCCACUGUGCCUUCCAGCCCACUCACCCCAUCAUCUGCUUUCGGCGUGUGGCCUGUCUUAUCCACCACCAGACAAAUGUCACAGGACCCGCUGUUCCUGGACCUGAUGGGGACCUGCCACUCGGACAGCACCAAGCCAGCCAUCCUGAAGCCUCAGCACCUCACCUGGUACCGCACACACCUGGCCCGGGGCCUGACGCUCUACCCCCCUGACAUCCUGGAUGCCAUGCUGAAGGAGAAGAAGCUGGCACAGGACCAGAACGGGGCUCUCAUGAUUCCCAUCCAGGAUCUGGAGGACAUGCCAGCCCCGCAGUACCCUUAUAUCCCUCCCAUGACCGAGUUCUUCUUCGACGGCACCAGCGACAUAACCAUCUUCCCCCCGCCCGUCAGUAUAGAGCCUGUCGAGGUAGACUUCGGUGCCUGCCCAGGGCCUGAGGCCCCCAACCCUGUACCCCUGUGCCUGAUGAACCACACCAAGGGCAAGAUCAUGGUGGUCUGGACGCGAAGGUCUGACUGCCCCUUCUGGGUGACUCCAGAGAGCUGCGACGUGCCCCCACUCAAGUCCAUGGCCAUGCGCCUGCACUUCCAGCCGCCUCACCCCAACUGCCUUUACGCGGUGGAGCUCGAAGCCUUCGCCAUCUAUAAGGUGUGUGCACGCAAUGAGAGGGAGGAAUGCGGGGUCUCUGCUAGGAGCCUGAGUGGCUGGGUGGGGUGGCAGGAAGUGACCGAGGGCAGCUUCAGGCUCCAUCCUCUGCGUGCCAGGCUUUCUCUUGGCUGGACAGUGACCCCUAUGGGUUUGUCUCCUCCAAAGCUCCUGGCCUAGCUCGGCCCAUCUGAUUUUCUCAUUCUUAUGUAAGUCUCCCCUCCCCUCUAAGGGAGAACUCAGCUGAGAUCAAGCUGUUUGGGAAAAUUGGGUGCACAGGGAGAUUCUCCCUGGGGCUCCUGGCUAGGAGGCCUCCUAGCUUCUCUACUAGUCCUUGAAUUAAGAAGUGGUCACUCUAAAGGAGCUUUGAGCGGGCAGGAAGCUGGGCCUAGAGACAAAGUCAGCAGCACCAGAUAAUUGUGAUGGAAAGGGCUUCUGACUCAGCUUCCCUGGGUCGGGAACUCCGAGUGCCGGCUGUCCCCAGCCCUGCUGUUCUGGCCCCAGAUGCAUGGUGCCCCCUCCUCAUCCUUUAGUCCUGCCCAUCCCUUCCUUCUUGACUCUGCCCACCCCACUGCCCUUGCCCAGAGGCCAAGGUCUUGGGACCCAGAGAAAAGUAGGGCUGUGCGGUCAAGAUCAGGGUCACUUACCAGCUAUGUGACCUUGGGCAAGUUCCUUAAUGUCUCUGAGUCCUGAUCUUUUCAUCUGUAAACUUGGGACCACGUCCGAUCUUUUGAGGAGGCUUUCCAAAGUGGAGGCUUUAGUUGCCCCCGUCCUAAUGCCUUGGCAGUGGGGUGAUGUCGAGGUUUGUAGGAAUAAGGUUGUAGAUGCCUGGCUCUGCUGAGGCUGAGCCUGUCAGAUAUUUAGGUUACAGGCUGUAGACCUGCACAGUCCAGUACAGCCACUGACAGCCACACGUGGCUACUGAGCUUUUAAUAUGUGGCUGGUCCCAAUUGAGACGUGCCGUGAGUGUAAAAUGCACCCUGGAUUUCAAAGACUUAGUAUGAAAAGAAUGUAAAAUAUCUCGUUACUAAUUUUAUAUUGGUUAUAUGUUAAAGUGAUAAGAUUUUAGAUCUAUUGGGUUAAAUAAAAUAUACUAUUAACAUU
rnacentral:sRNA from 1 species